rnacentral:lncRNA from 1 species
UGAGGCAGAAAACGCUGGCUGAGAAGAGCAUGGGGUUGAGAAAUGGCACCAAUUUGGGGGAUGGACGUCCCACUGCCAUCAGAUAUCAGCCUUCUAUUAUUGUUUGUUUAUUUUAUAUGGGGGCUUUGGACACUGUUUUCCAGGAAUCGGAGCCGGAAGCAGGUGGCAGCCAAGAUAAACUCAGAGACUUCAAAGCAGCAUAGAUUGAAAAAGAUCCAGAAAUUAACAGAUCCACAGUGGGAAGAAAACCUCAGGAUGGGUUGCACUGAAGCUAACCUGACAUGUGUUUCAGAACUCCCUGUGGGCUGGACCCAGGAAUAUAUACUCUGGUCAAUGGAGCGGAGCCUUCAACAGAUCUUCCGAUACCUAGAAAGCGCAAGAUCAAGGCUUAUGGAACAGGAUUUGCCUGAAUCACAGGAUAUGAUUUCUUCCUCUACCACCUCUGUUCUUGUGGCUCAGAAGACUGUUCUAUGCUGUUGUGACUAUAAGAAAGCAAAACAUUCUACUGACCACAGCAUCUCCUUUAGUUCAUCAUGCAAUGACUCCAGUCUGUCUCAUCUUCCUGUCUUUUCUGAAGGAACAACUUGGGAAUUCCAGAGCCAUAGUUUACCUAUUUCCCACAAAAAGCAAUCCUCUGUGUUCAGGAACCAAGGCACAACCCUGCCUCUUUUUCAGCUCUCAGAGCCCCAGAAAUCAAAACUUUUUCAGAAUUUGGCAGAUCUUUCACCCUUACAACCUCAGAGCUCUUUUAUCAACUCUAUUUCUGAACCCCUAAAUAUCUGCAAACAAAAAAGGAAAAAAAAUGAUGACAGAAUGAGCAAGAGUCAUUUGACAUCAGAUCAUGAGCCAAAUUCUGUUUCCAAGGAGAGACCACGACUUCCAAGGUGGGCUACAUUCAAGCUCUCUCCUUCAGUUAGAAGGGAGCUAGAAGGACAUAUGUCUCAGAAGGUUUUUGCUUUGCGGCAACAAACAGCACCUUUACCUUUGAGGAAAUCAUGGGCAAUGCUGAAUUAUAUAACUGAAGUACAAGUAGGAGUUGCUGAAUCAGAGAAACCCCAAACUCAGUUAUCUAUGCCCAUUCAUCAAAACACUGAGCAAAAUAUCAACAACAAAUCCUCAGACCUUCCAUCAUUUCAGCUCCAUGUGAAUGCUGGAGUGGGAUCUGGAUCAAAUAGCACAGAAACAAAACUUUCACAGUCACUUAUCUCAGAUAAGCAGUUACAACCUGGGGAUGGCCCCCAAAUCCUUGGAUUCAAGCCUUUAGUUACAUCAAUGGGCAGUCUACCUCCAAGAAGUUUAGAACUUAAUGUAAUUCAAGAGGAAACUCCUUUACUGAAGAAUGAUCCAAAACAUGUGCUAGAGCUUAGUAUAGAGGAGAGGGUCAUAGGUUUUCCAGAAAAAAGGAUACAGCAGCACAAGACACAAGUGACUAAUGUGGAGUUGACCCCAAGGCUAUCAUAUCAAGUCAAAGAUAGCCUAAAGGUAACUCCAUUGGCACUACUUCGGGUCAUGGAUUCAAUGGGGAUGAUCCCAGAAUCACAUUCAGAAUUUGCGGGUUUGUUCCCACAGCUGCCAAGUCAAGUUGUGAAACCAAUGGAAACCAUGGAAACAGUGAGCAUAACCCCCAAACCACCAAAUCAAGUCAUUCAAUCAAUGGAGGCAGCCCCAAGGUCUCAGCACCAAGUUAUGGAAUCAGAGAGGGUGGCCACAAGAUUACUGAAUCAAGUCACAGAUAAUAAGAAAGUAACUCCUGUAGCACUGCUUCAAGUUAUGGAUUCUAUGGGGAUGAUUAACAAAUCACAUCCACGUAUAGAAUCAGUGGGAACGACUCCAACACCACAAUAUCAAGUCAUAGAGUCAGUGAAAAUGAACACAUUGUUGAACCAUCAAGACACAAAACCAGAAAAGAUGAAUCUAAAGCCACAACAUGCAGUUACGGAAACUGUGGAAAUGAUGCCAGGGCCACAGCAUAAAGUCAUGGAAUCUGCAGGCAUGACCUCAGGGUCACAAAGUCAAGUCAUGGAACAAGGAAAGGCUACUCCAGGGCUAAUAUGUCAAGACACAAAAUCACUGGAAAUGAUCUCAGCACCAUUACAUCAAGUCAUGGGUUAUGUGAAAGGAAUUCCAGUGGCACUAUUACAAGCCAUGGAUUUCAGGGAGAUAAUUCCACCAGCACAGCCACAUGUUAUAGAAUCUGGGGGCUUGACCCCAAGUUCACAGUUGCAAGGUAGGAGAUCUGUUCAUCUGGUCCUACCACCAGAGUUUCAAGAUAUAAACACUGUGGAGCUGACCCUAAGACCGCCAACGGAAGAUACAAAAUCUGCGGAGUUGGCCCCAAAGCCAUGGUUACACGAUGUCAGAUCUGAGAAGGUAGCCCCAGUACUAUUGCUUGAAGAUGUGAAAACUCCUCAAAUGGUAGAAUGUAGGAGGUCAAUUCCUGAGACACAGGUGCAAGGUAUGAAAUAUGGGGAACUGAACAAAGGGACACAAUUUAAGGAAGUAAAAGCUGCAGAGAUGAGCCCCAAACAAAAUCAUGAAGCCACAGAGCCUGAAAGAUUGACCCCAUGGCAUCAAGCCUCAGAAUCUUUAGAGAUGAUUUCCGGACCAGGAUAUCAAGGAAAAGAAGCAAAGUUGACCUCUAACAACUGUCACCAAGUGGAAAAAUCUACUGGGUUGACACAACCAUCUUUAGGAACUAGCCCAGGGCCACUGAGCCAAACUUCAGAAUCUGUGGAGAUGAGCUCAGUGUCAUUUCCAAGACAUUCUCAAGACAAUGCACCAACUUGGAAAAGCAAUGGGGGAAACUCCAGUAUCACAACACACAACAAAAGAAUGUUUGGAUUUGAUACCAGGAUCAGAAAUGCAAAGUGUGAAAUCAGAGGGGGUGACCACAGAGCCACAGCCCCAUGAUAUGAAGUUUGUUUACUGCAAUCUAGGGCCAUGUUCAGAAGUUACUGAGUUGUCAAAGAUACCCCCUAUGUCAGAAUAUAAAGAAACUGUGGGGUUGGCAUUGCCUCAAGUUGAUAAGACCCAGGGGGUCAUCCCAGUACCACCACAUUCAGAAACAGGAUUUUUGGAGUUGACUCUAGGACCAGGCACUCAAUAUGAGAAAUCAGAGCCACUACUGCAAAAUUUGAAAUCUAUGGAGUUAACCAGUGAGUCAUCUCCAUUAUUGAUAGGAUCUAAAAAGUUAAUUACAGAACAAAAACCACAUGUUAUGGACCUGACCCCAGGGCCACAGCUCCAGGGAGAAAAGUCUAAGCAGCUGGAUCUAGAGUCACAGUUGCAAGAUAUGAAACACAUGAAUUUAAUCCAACAGUCAACUACAGGAGUGGUAGAAUCUGAGGAGAUGAUGCCAGAGCUACCGCUACAAAGUAUGCCAUUGGAGGAUUUGACUAAGAGGGAAGAGUUCCAACGUGUAAAAUCUGUGGAUUUAAAUCUAGGCCCAUCUCAGCCAAGUGUCAAAUCUUCUGGAUUGACCUCAGGGCCACAGUUGCCAAGUGUCAGAUUUUCAAAGAUAUUUCCAGGACCACUUCUUCAAGGCAAAAAACCUGUAGAAUUAAUCUCACAACCCCCACAUUAUGGUGUGAAAUCUGAUGAAUUGACCUCAGAUUCCCCAGUUCAGGACAUCAAAUUGUCAGAUUUUAUCCCAGAGCCAACACAUCAAAGUGUCAAAUUUGUACAGCUGACUCCAGAAUCACAACCUCAAGAUGUGAAAUUUGUGGAACUAAGCCCAGGACUAUUCUUGCAAGAUGUCAAAUUUUCUGAUUUGAUCCCAGAGCCAAAGCAUCAAGGUUUCAAACAUAUGCAGUUGACACCAGGAGCUCAGCUCGAAGAUAUAAAGUCUCUAGAUUUUGUACCAGAGUCAUCUUUGCAGUCAAGCCAAGGGACACAUAUUGAAGAUAUGAAAUCUGUUCUGUCUACUGAAGGAUCACAGUUUCACAGCAUGAAAUCUGCGAAAUCGACCUCAGAACUACCAUUUCAAAGUGUAAAAUCUGAGGAAGUAAACCUAGGGCCAUGGCAGCAAGAUAUCAAAUUUUCUGAAUUGACUUCAAGGCCAAAGCUGCAAGGUGUCAAUUCUGCGGAUCAAACUCCAGGAUCAAUGUUUCAUAGUGUGAAUUUUGUAGAGGUGGUUCCAAAGUUAGGGCUGCAAGAUUCCAAAUUAGCAAAGAUAUUUCCAGGAACUCAAAGUAUGAAACAGGUAGGGCUUAACCCAGAGCUGCAGCGACAAGAUGUCAAAUGUUUUGAUUUAGUACCAGGAACUCAACCUCAAGGUGUGAAAUCUUUAGAGUUAAACUCAGGGCCACAGCUACAAUGUGUAAAAGUUUUAGAGAUGACCCCAGGGCCAAAGAUGCAAGGGGUACCACCUGUGACAAUGGCUCCAGGGCCAGAGGGGGAAAGGGUUAAGCCUGAGUUGUUAGUGCCAGAGCCACUGUUUCAAGGUGUAAAAUAUGUAGCAGGCAACCAAGAACCAAGCCUUGAAGCUGAAGUUUCCUAUAAAUUAGUCUCAGAGCCACAAAUGCCAGAUGCAGAAUCCAUGGAGUUGACUCCUGGGCCACAGUUGCCCAGUGUAAAUCAUUCUGAGUUGACCAGACAACCACAGUUACAAGGUAUUAAAUCUUCUGAAUUGAUACAAAGACCACAGUUACAAAACGUAAAUUCUGUGGAGUGGAGCCCAGUCUUGAAACUUAAAGGUUUCAGAUCUGAAAAGCUAACCUCAGAGCCACAGCUAGAAGAUAUGACAUCUGCGGAAUUAAUCCCAGGGCCACAUUUGGGAGAUGUGAAAACUAUGCAGUUAACACCAGAGCCAGAAUUGGAAGAUGUCAAAUCUAUGACGUUAACCCCAGAGCCACAGGCAGGAGGUGUAAAACUUGAGGAGGUAACCCCGGGCUCAAAGCUUCAAUCUGAGUUGCUGACUUCAGGAUCACAGUUGGAAGAUAUGAAAUCUGUGACCUUAACUCCAGGACCAUGCCUGGAAAGCAUGAAAUCUAUGGAGAUAACUCUAAGUCCACAGCUGGAAGGUGGGAAAUCUGUGGCGAUAACCUUAGGGUCACAGAGAGAAGAUGUUAAAUCUGUGGAAUUCACCCCUGAUUCUGAGCUUCAAGGUGUAAAAUCUGUGGAGUUGACUCCAUGUUCAAGAAUUCAAGAUUUAAAAACUGAGGAGUUGGUCCUAGGUACACAGCUGCAAGAUAUGAAAACUGCUAAAUUAAAACUUGGGCUAAAGAUGCAAGGUGAGAAGUCUAUGGCUUUUGCACCAGGGCCAUUGCUUCAAGGGGUUAAAUCUAUGGAGACGCUUCAAAGGCCUCAGCUACAAAGUGUGAAACCUGAAGAACUGACCUCAGUCCCACAAAUGCAAGAUAUGAAAUUUGUGGAGAUUACUCCAUGUUUAAAGCUUCAAAGUUUAAAAUCUAUAAAGGAGACUCAAGAUCCACAUCUGCAAUGUGUAAAACCUGUAAAGUUGACCCCAUGGCAAAAGAGGCAGGCAGUAAAAUUUGUGAAUAUAACCAGAGGAGAAGAGUUUGAAGAAGUAAAAUCUGUGGAUUUAGCCCUAAAGCAACAGUUUCAAGGGAUGGCACCUGUGGAUUUAACCCUUGAGCCUGAACAGGAUGGUCAGAUAUCUGUAAACUCACAAGAGCAGCAAUGUGUGAAUUUUGAGCAAGUAAAGAAAGGGUCUGAGUCAGAAGGUGUAAUGUCUUUGGAGUUAAUUCCAGAGCCAAAAUCUGAAGGUAUAAAAUCGGUAGACCUCAAGUCUGACCUACAGUCGAAAGGUAUAAAAUCAUCUGAAUUGACUCCAGAAUCAAAUAUGCAAGAUGUAAAAGCUAAAGAGUUCAAACAUGAACCACAGUUGCAAAGUAUGAAAUCUCCCAAGUUGACCCCAGGACCACAGUUGCACCAAGUGAAACCCUUGGGCUCGACUGUAGAGCCACAGAUUCAAAGUGUGAAAAUUGUGGAGUUAAACAAAGAGCUAGAGCUUGGAAGAAUGAAAUCUGUUCAGUGGAUAACAAGACCUGAGUUCCAAGGUCUAAAAUCUGUAGGGUUAAAUCUUGGGUCACAAUCUCGAAGUGUCAAACCUGCAGAAUUGAAACUUUCCAUACAGUUGGGAGAUAUGAUAGCAUCUAAAUUGGUUCUAGAGCCAAAACUUCAAGGUGCAAAACCUAUGGAGUUUAACCGUGGGCCACAGUUGCAGUGUGUAAAAACCUCUGAGUUGUCUUCAGGACCACAGCUGCAAAAAGGGAAAAUGCUAGCAUCCACCUCAGAGCCACAACUUCAAGGUGUGAAAACUGUGGAGUUAAACCAAGACUCACAGCUUACAAGUGUGAAAUCUGUGCAGUCGAUACCAGGACCUGAGUUCCAAGGUGUAAAAACUAUAGGGUUAAAUCUUGGUUCACAAUCUCAAGGUGUCAAACCUGGAGAGUCGAAAUCUUCCAUAGAGUCAGGAGGUGUAAAGUCAUCUCAACUGACUCUAGGGCCAAAACUUCAAAGUGUAACAUCUAUGGAGUUUAACCUUGGGUCACAGUUGCACUUUGUGAAAGCUCCUGAGUUGUCCCAAGGACCACAGCUGCAAAAAGGGAAAAUUCCAGCAUCGACCUCAGAGCCAUAUUUUCAAGGUGUGAAAACUGUAGAGCUAAACCAAGACUCACAGCUUGGAAGUGCGAAAUCUGUGCAGUGGAUAUCAGGACCUGAGUUCCAAGGUGUAAAAACUGUAGGGUUGAAUCUUCGUUCACAAUCUCGAGGUGUCAAGCCUGCAGAGUUGAAAUCCUCCACAGAGUCGGGAGGUGUAAAAUCAUCUGAAUUGACUCUAGGGCCAAAACUUCAAGGUGCAAAACCUGUGAAGGUUAACUUUGGGCCACAGUUGCAAUGUGUGAAAACUCCUAAGAUGUCCCGAGGACCACAGUUGCAGAAAGGGAAAAUUCUGGCGUCAACCUCAGAGCCACAGCUUCAAGGUGUAAAAGAUGUGGAGUCAAACAAAGACUCACAGCUUGGAAGUGUGAACUCUGUGCAGUGGAUACCAGGACCUGAGUUCCAAGGUGUGAAAUCUGUGCUAAAAUGUGGUUCACAAUCUCGAGUUGUCACAACUGUAGAAUUGAAACCUUCAGUACAAUUAAGAAAUGUGAAGUCAUCUGAGUUGACUCCAAGGCCAAGCUCCAAAGUAUACAACCUUUGACAUCACUCCAGGAACAUCAGUUGCCAGGGCUCAAACCUAUUGCUUUGAAAUCUGGGCUACAGUUGAAAAGUGUGAAAUCAUGUGGCUCAGUUUCAACAUCAANNNNNNNNNNGCGUUUACGCAAGCGCCACAGUUUUCAGGGGUGAAAUCUGGAGUAUUAAGCCAAGAGCUACCAUUACAAAGUGAUAAAACUGUAGCGCUGAACUCCUUACUACACUUGAAAAGCAUGAAAUCAUCUGAAUUGGCUCAUCAGACAGAACUUCCAGGUAUGAAAUCUGAGGAGUUCAACUCUGGGCCACAAUGGCAAUGUGUCAAAUCUUCUAAGCUGAACCCUAAGACAAAGUCCCAAGACAUGAAGUUUAGAGAGUUAAACCCCAGUUCACAAUUGAAAGAUAUCCCAUAUUCUGAUUUGACCACAAGGACCAAGAUUCAAGGUGUCAAAUCUACAGACUUCAAACCUGGGCCACAGUUGCAAGGAGUGAAAUCUUCUGAGUCGAUACUGAAGACAAAGCUUCAAGAAGUGAAAUUAAUGGAAUGCAACUCAGGCCCACGGUUGCAAGAUUUGAAAUCUUCUAGGUUGAUCAUGGGUAUAAAGCGUCAAGACAUUAAAUCUAUGGAUUUCAGUUCUGGACCACACUUACAGACUGUGAAAUCUUCUGAAGUGAUUCCAGGGGGAAAGCUUCAGGGUGUGAAAUCGGUAGAAUUCAAACCUAGUCCAAAGUUACAAAGUGAGAAAUCUGAUUUGACCCUGGGGAGGAAGUUUCCAGGUGCGAAAUCUGUAGAGCUGGAAUCAGGCCCACAGUUACAAGAUAUAAAAUCUUCUGAUCUGAUCAUGGGUAUAAAGCUUCAAGAUGUAAAAUCUAUGAAGUUCAGUUCUGGACAACACUUUCAAGGUAUAAAAUCUUCUGAGGUAACCUCAGGGACAAGGCUUCAAAGUAUGAAAUCAAUGGAUUUCAAUUCUGGACAACAGACACAAAGUGAAAAAUCUUCUGAGUUGAUUCAGGGAACAAACCAUCAAGAUGUUAAAUCUGUAGAAUUCCACCAUGGUCUAAAGUUACAAGGUGUGACAUCUUCUGAGUUAACACCAGAGACAAAGCUUCAAGGUGGGGAAUCUGUGGAGUUCAACUCGGGCCCACAGUGGCAAGAUACAAAAUAUUCUAACUCAAUAAUGGGGACAGAGCUUCAAGAUGUAAAAUCUAUGGAGUUCAGUUCUGGAUCACACUUGCAAGGUAUGAAAUCUUCUGAAGCGAUCCCAGCGACAAAGCUUCAGAAAGUGAAAUCUGUGCUCAUGCCUAGGCCAAUGCGGCAAGAUGUGAAAUCUUCUGAAUUGACUGUAGGUACAAAGGUACAGGAUAGGACAUCUUUGGAGUUAAGCUCAACUUCACAGUUACAAGAUAGAAAAUUAUCUAUGUUGACACCAGGGAUACACCUUCAAGGUGUGAAAUCUGUAGAAUAUAAUCCUGGGGCAAAGUUGGAAGAUAUGAAAUCUGGGUUGAUAAGGCUUCAGACGGUGAACUCUACAGAAGGCAACCAUGACCCAGAAUUGCAGGUUGCAAAACUCUCUAAGUUGGCCUUGGAAUCAAAGAUUCAUAGUGUGGCACCUUCUGAGUUCAAUGCUGAAAAGCUGCAGCAAGAUGAGAAAUCUCAUAAAUUGAAUCCAUGGCCAGACCUUCAAAGUGUAAAAUUUAUGGUGUUCAAUCCUGAGCCACAUCUGCAACAUAGAAAAUCUUCAGAAUUAUGCACAGGGACAAAGCUUCAAGAUGUAAAAUCUAUGAAAUUCAAUCUUCAGCAACAGUUGCAAGGUGUGAAAUCUUCUGAGUUGUGCCUAGGAACAAGGCUUCAAGGUGCACAAUCUUUAGAUUUCAACCCUGGACCACAGUUGCAAGGAACAAAAUCUGCCAAGUUGAAUCCUGGGCCUGAGCUUCAAGGUAUAAAAUCUAAGGUGUUCUGCCUUGGACCACAUUUGCAAGAUGUGAAUUCUUCUGUAUCCAUUCCAGAGCCACCACAUCAGUAUGUAAAUUCUACUGGAAGCAACCGUGGGCUACCUUUGCAAGGUGUAAAUUCUGCAUCCAUUCCAGCACCUAAACUUCAGUGUAUAAGUUCUAAUGGGUGCAUCCUUGGGCCACAUUUGCAAGGUGUGAAUUCUGCAUUCAUUCCACAGCCAAAAGCUCACUGUGUAAAUUCUAUUGGGUGCAACCCAGGGCCGUAUUUACAAGGUAUGAAAUCGCCUGAAUUAACUCCAGUUUCAAAACUUCAAGGUAUGAAGUGUUCUGAAUUGAACCCAGGGACAGAAAUUCAAAGUGAGACACCUAUGAUGUUCAACCCUAUACCACAUUUGCAAGGUUUAAAAUCUGAAUUGACUCCAGGGUCAAAGCUUCCACGUGCAGCACCUAUGGAAUGCAACCCUGGGCCACAGGUGCAGUAUGUGAAUUCUUCUGAGUUGAAUCCAGGGCUAAAAUUGCAAUGUAUAGAUUCUAUGGAGUGCAAACUUGCGCCACACUUGCAAGGUGUAGAAUCAGGGACAAAAUUUCAAGUUAUGAAAUUUUCUGAGUUGUAUCCAGGGCCAGAGCUUCAAGGUAUAAAAUCUGUUGUGUUCAACUCUGUGCAACAUUUACAAGAUGUAAAAUGUGAACUGACUCCAGGGACAAAAUUUCAAGAUAUAACACCAAAGGAGUUCAACUCUGGCCCGCAGCUGCAAGGUAUGAAUUCUGAGGAGUUCCAUUCACACUUCAGGCAGCAUAAUGUGAGAUCUGUGGUAUUUGUACCAGAGCCAUGUUCUCAAGAUGUGAAAUCUGUGAAGUCAACUCUAUGGCCACAACCUCAAAGUGUAAAUUCUUCAGGGUUGACAUCAUGCUUUGGGUCACAAUGCAUUAAAUCUGUGGCCUUUGCAUCGAAGCCAUGCUUUCAAGAUGUAAAACCUAUGGAGCUGACACCAGGGGCCCAACAGCAAGGUAUAAAUUAUCAAGAGUUGACUUCAGGAUGGCAAGAUGUGAAAUCAAUGAUGUUGGCACCAGAGCCAACUAGGAAGUUCCCAUCAGGACCACUGUUGACUAGUGUCAGAUUUUCAAAUUUGUCUCCAGAAUCACAGCAACAGGAUGUGAAAUCUUUGGAGUUUACUGUAGAGCCAAAGUUGCAAAGCGUAAAACAUGUGAAAUUAUCUUCAGUGUCUCUGCAGCAAACUAUAAAAUCUGUGGAAUUAGCACCAGGGUCACUGCUUCAAAGAGUGAAAUAUGGGGAGCAAACUCCAAGAACAAAUUAUCAAAUCAUGGAAUCCUCUGAACUAAUCCCUAGACCAGGGCAUCAGUUUGCAAAAUAUGCAGAGAUGAUCCCACAGCCAAAGUAUCAAAUCCCUAAAUCUGCAAAUUUGAUUUCAAUACCAAUUUAUCACGCCACAGAAUCUUCAGAAAUGGCACAAGGAUUGGCAUAUAAAGGCAUAGAUACUGUAGAGAAAUCUGUGGGGUUGACCCCAAAGCUAACAGGUAGAGCUAAGGAAUCCUUAGGGAUGCUGCUGCAGCCAGAUCUUCAGGUACCAAAAUUUGUUGAUCUGACUCCAAUGGUAAGGGAUCAAGGCUCAAAAUUCUUAGGAUUAACUCCAGAGAAAAGCUACCAAAUCCUAGAAACUAUGGAAUUGCUCUCUCAGCCACGGCCCCAAGUUAAGGAUGUGGGGGAGUUAUAUAUGAAGCCACUGCAGCAAACUGUGGAAUAUGAAGGGAUUACUCCGGAACUCAAGCAUUACUUUACAGAAGCUAUGGGGUUGACCGCUGAGGCAAGGAUACAAGCAAAUGAAUUCUUUGGAAUGACCCCAAAGCCAACAAGUCAAGCCACUGGAUUUGCAGAGAGAUCCCCAAGGCUCUGUCCUCAAAACUUAGAAUGUGUGGAGGUGAUCUCUGAGAAAAGACUGCAAGGGGAAGAAUCUGUGGUAUUGAUUCCAAAGUCAUUACAUCACAUCCCAGAUUCUGCUUCAAGGAUGACACCUGGGUUAGGACAUCGAGUUCCUGAAUCUGUGGAGUUGACUUCUAAGUCAGGAGUGCAGGUAGAGAAAACUUUGCAAUUAACCCCCAAACCACAGCAUCAUGUGGGAUCUCCAGGGAUAAUAUCAGGGUUAGGACAUCAAGUCCCAGAAUCUGUAAAUCUGACCUGUAAGCAAUGGCUACAAAGGGAGGAAUCUUCAGAGGUGCCCCUGAAGCAAACAAGUCAAGUUAUAGGACAUGAAGAAUCUGUAGAGCUCACCUCUGAGGCACGGCAGCACAGGGAGGUAUCAAUGGGGCUAACAAAGUCAAAGAAUCAAAGUAUGAAAUCUCCAGGGACAACCCCAGGACCACUGGGUCGAAUUGUAGAAUUUAUGAGGAUUAGUCCAGAGCCACUAGAUCAAGUCACAGAAUCUGCAAGGACACAGCUUCAAGUUGCUCAAUCUGAAGAGGUAAUCCUCGUAGAUGUCCCAAAAGUUGUUCAAUCUGUGAAAGUGACCCCUGGACCACCAUUUCAAAUUGUAAAGUCUGUGACAAUACCAAGGCCAACCCCUCAAAUGGUAGAAUAUAUUGAGUUGACUCCAAAACUGCAACAUGUGAGACCUUCAGAGCACCACGCAGGGCCAUGUUUGCAAGAUGUGAAAUCUACAAAAUUAAUCACAAAGCCAAAACACCAGAUUUUGGAAACAGUGGAGUUGACAGGGUUUCAAAUUGUAAAAACUAUGUUAAUCCCAGGGCCAUCCCUUCAAAUCGUAAAAUCUGAGGAGUUAGCACCAGGACCAAUUCCUCAGGUUGUAGAACCAAUAGGAGUAGCCCUAGAAUCAGGAAUUGAAGCAAUAAAUUGUGUGGAUUUACUUCCAAGGCCACAUCUUCAAGAACUGAUAGUACCUGCAGAAUUAACCCCAAGGCCAUGUAUUCAAGUGAAAUCUGAAGAAUUAACCUCACCGCAAACAUCUCCAUUUGAGGAACAUACAAUAUUGACUCAUAAACAAGGGCUUCAGGCUGUGAAAUCUACAGUGAUAAAAACAGAGCCUCCUAAAGUUAUGGAAACUGAGGAUUUGAAUCUAGGACACGUGUGUCAGAAUAGGGACUGUCAGAAGUUAACAUCAGAAGAGUUACAAGUAGGGACUGACUUCUCUAGGUUCCUACAAAGCUCUUCAACCACACUCAUUUCAAGCUCUGUCAGAACAGCAUCUGAAUUAGGAGGACUUUGGGAUUCUGGGAUACAGGAAGUAUCCAGAGCUUUGGAUAUAAAAAACCCUGGGACAGAUAUUUUGCAGCCUGAAGAGACCUAUAUAGACCCUACUAUGAUACAAUCUUUAACUUUUCCUUUGGCCCUUCAUAAUCAAAGCUCCGAUAAGACAGCUAACAUUGUGGAAAACCCAUGUCCUGAGAUUCUAGGAGUGGAUGUAAUAUCUAAAGAGACAACUAAGAGGAAGCAAAUGGAGGAGCUAGAGAACUCACUUCAGAGACAUCUACCACAAAGCUGGAGAUCACGAUCUAGGACAUUCCAGGCAGCAUCAGGGGUUCAAAAAGGUCUCAUCAAGUCUUUCUCGGGCAAACAACACAAUGUCUGGGAGAGUCAUGCCUGGAAGCAGCGACUACCAAGAAAAUAUCUCUCCACUAUGCUAAUGCUGGGGAAUAUUUUAGGGACCACUAUGGAAAGGAAGCUUUGUUCUCAAACAUCUUUAGCAGAAAGAGCCACUGCAGAUACCUGUCAAUCUAUUCAGAAUUUAUUUGGGAUUCCAGCUGAACUGAUGGAACCUUCCCAGAGCCUGCCAGAGAAGGGUCCAGUUACUAUUUCUCAGCCUUCUGUGGUCAAAAACUAUAUUCAGAGACAUACUUUUUAUCAUGGUCGUAAGAAAAGAAUGGCCUUAAGGAUAUGGACACGUGGCUCCACAUCUUCCAUAAUACAGCAAUACUCUGGGACUAGAGUGAGAAUAAAGAAGACAAACUCAAGGUUCAGUGGUAUAUCCCAAGACGUCAUUCAACAUAUGCCUGUCUCAUGUGCAGGGGGCCAGCUUCCUGUCCUGGUAAAGUCAGAGUCUUCCCUCAGCAUAUUUUACGAUAGAGAAGAUCUUGUUCCAAUGGAAGAAAGUGAGGACUCACAGAGUGAUUCCCAGACAAGGAUUUCUGAGUCCCAACACUCCCUCAAGCCAAAUUAUCUUUCCCAGGCUAAGACUGACUUCUCAGAACAGUUCCAGUUGCUACAAGAUCUGCAGCUAAAAAUAGCAGCAAAACUCUUAAGGAGUCAAAUACCCCCCGAUGUGCCUCCACCUCUAGCUUCAGGUCUAGUCCUAAAAUACCCUAUCUGCCUACAGUGUGGCCGAUGUUCAGGACUUAAUUGCCAUCAUAAAUUACAGACCACUUCGGGGCCUUAUCUUCUUAUCUAUCCACAGCUCCACCUUGUACGCACUCCUGAAGGCCAUGGUGAGAUUCGGUUGCAUCUUGGCUUUAGGCUGAGAAUUGGGAAAAGACCCCAAGUCUCAAAGUAUCGUGAAAGAGAUAGAACCGUCAUACGGAGAAGCCCUAUAUCACCAUCACAAAGGAAAGCUAAAAUCUAUACUCAAGCUUCCAAGAGUCCUACUUCCACAGUAGAUUUGCAGUCUGGGCCUUCCCAGUCCCCUGCUCCUGUACAAGUCUACAUCAGGCGAGGACAACGCAGCAGCCCUGACCUAGUAGAAAAGACAAAAACUAGAGCACCUGGGCACUAUGAAUUCACUCAAGUUCACAACCUACCAGAGAGUGACUCUGAAAGCACUCAGAAUGAAAAACGGGCUAAAGUGAGAACCAAAAAGACCUCUGAUUCAAAAUAUCCAAUGAAGAGAAUCACCAAGGGACUUAGAAAACACAGAAAGUUCUACACAAACAGUAGAACCACAAUAGAGAGUCCCUCUAGGGAAUUAGCAGCCCAUUUAAGAAGGAAGAGGAUUGGAGCAACUCAGACAAGUACUGCCUCUUUAAAAAGACAACCUAAGAAACCUUCCCAACCCAAGUUCAUGCAACUGCUUUUUCAGAGCCUAAAGCGGGCAUUCCAAACAGCACACAGAGUUAUAGCUUCUGUUGGGCGGAAGCCUGUGGACGGGACAAGGCCAGACAAUUUGUGGGCAAGCAAAAACUAUUAUCCAAAACAAAAUGCCAGGGACUAUUGCUUACCAAGCAGUAUCAAAAGAGAGAAGAGGUCAGCUGACAAGCUAACACCAGCAGGCUCAACCAUUAAGCAGGAGGACAUAUUGUGGGGAGGAACGGUCCAGUGCAGAUCAGCUCAACAGCCAAGAAGAGCUUACUCUUUCCAACCCAGACCUCUUCGACUGCCCAAGCCCACAGAUUCCCAAAGUGGUAUUGCUUUCCAAACUGCCUCAGUGGGGCAGCCUCUGAGAACUGUUCAAAAGGACAGUAGUAGCAGAUCAAAGAAAAACUUCUAUAGAAAUGAAACCUCCAGCCAGGAGUCUAAGAACUUGUCCACACCAGGAACCAGAGUUCAGGCCCGAGGAAGAAUCCUACCUGGUUCCUCUGUGAAGAGAACCUGGCACCGACAUCUUAAAGACAAACUCACACACAAGGAGCAUAACCACCCCAGCUUCUAUAGGGAGAGAACCCGUCAUAACCCCUCUUGGAGAAACCAUCGCAGUCCCUCUGAGAGAAGCCAACGCAGUUCCUUGGAGAGAAGACAUCACAGUCCCUCUCAGAGGAGCCACCGCGGUCCCUCUAGGAAAAACCAUUCCAGUCCUUCUGAGAGAAGCUGGCACAGUCCGUCUCAGAGAAAUCACUGCAGUCCCCCCGAGAGGAGCUGUCACAGUCUCUCUGAAAGGGGCCUUCACAGUCCCUCUCAGAGGAGCCAUCGCGGUCCCUCUCAGAGAAGACAUCACAGUCCCUCAGAGAGAAGCCAUCGCAGUCCCUCAGAGAGAAGCCAUCGCAGUCCCUCUCAGAGGAGCCAUCGCGGUCCCUCAGAGGGAAGCCAUCGCAGUCCCUCUAAGAGAAGCCAUCGCGGUCCCGCUCGGAGGAGCCAUCGCAGUCCCUCAGAGAGAAGCCAUCAAAGUCCCUCUGAGAGAAGACAUCACAGUCCCUCUGAGAGAAGCCAUCACAGUCCCUCUGAGAGAAGCCAUCACAGUCCCUCUGAGAGAAGCCAUCACAGUCCCUCUGAGAGAAGCCAUCACAGUCCCUCUGAGAGAAGACAUCACAGUUCCUUGGAGAGGAGCCGUCACAGUCUCUUGGAGAGCAGCCAUCGCAGUCCCUCUGAGAGGAGAUCUCACAGGUCCUUUGAGAGGAGCCAUCGUAGGAUUUCUGAGAGAAGUCACAGUCCCUCAGAGAAGAGCCACCUCAGUCCCUUGGAAAGAAGCCGUUGCAGUCCCUCUGAGAGGAGAGGACACAGUUCCUCUGGGAAAACCUGUCACAGUCCCUCUGAGAGAAGCCAUCGCAGUCCCUCCGGGAUGAGGCAAGGGAGGACCUCUGAGAGGAGCCAUCGCAGUUCCUGUGAGAGAACCCGUCACAGUCCCUCUGAGAUGAGGCCAGGGAGGCCCUCUGGGAGGAACCAUUGCAGUCCCUCUGAGAGGAGCCAACGCAGUCCCCUUAAGGAGGGACUCAAGUACAGUUUCCCUGGAGAGAGGCCCAGCCAUAGUUUGUCUAGAGAUUUCAAGAAUCAAACAACUCUCCUCGGGACCACACAUAAAAAUCCCAAAGCAGGGCAAGUGUGGAGGCCUGAAGCUACUCGAUGAGGCGAGGUCCGCCCCUAUUAUUCAUUGUCCUAAGUCUUCAUCGUGCUGCCCUUUCCAGGCUUCUUUCCUGCUCAGCCACUGCCUCCAAUUCCUGCGCCCCCAGCGUGGAAAGGCUUCCAUUUCUCUCUGCCGGGGGGGAGGCGGGUGAGAAUGGGUCUGUAAUUUCUCUAAGAUGAAUAAAGGGGCAGUAAAUGAUCUUCCUGUGCAUCUGGACUGAGACCACUGGGCGGGUGGAUGGGGAAGGCAGGCUGGAGGGACACGAGGAGUUGUGCAAAGAUUCGGAAUGAGAGCCAGGGGUUUUGAGGCCCAGCCGAGGCUCCAAGCUCCGCCCCUUCACUCCAGACC